UACGUAGGGGGGCAAGCGUUGUCCGGAUUCAUUGGGCGUAAAGAGCGUGUAGGCGGCCUGGAAGGUCAGCUGUGAAAACUCGAGGCUCAACCUCGAGACGUCGGUUGAAACCGUCUGGCUAGAGUCCGGAAGAGGAGAGUGGAAUUCCCGGUGUAGCGGUGAAAUGCGCAGAUAUCGGGAAGAACACCCGUGGCGAAGGCGGCUCUCUGGGACGGUACUGACGCUGAGACGCGAAAGCGUGGGGAGCGAACAGG
rnacentral:rRNA from 1 species